UUUCCCCCAGCCGCAAAACACAGAGCCUCCAUGCACCAGGUGAAGAAAGAGAACUUUGAAGAGAUGUCACCUCACUUCUCUCCAGCCCUUGCUCAGCCAGAAAGGACCUGGGAUACCUGAAAGCAGAAGCAGGAAGACUCUUCUCAUGGGUGCUGAGGAAAAGGGUGCCAGAUGAAGUUGGAGGCUGGAAAGAAUGAUGUUUCAGAGAGAGAGAGAGAAUGCACAAGCAGAGGGAGGAGCAGAGGAAGAAGGAGAAGCACAAUCCUCGAUGAAUAAAGAGCCCUACACAGGCUCAAUCCCAGGACCCACGAUCAUGACCCAAACUGAAGGAACACAUUUAACUGAUGCAACCAACCAGGCACUCUGAGUCAUAGUUUAAAAUGAUUAAAAAAGUAAAAUUUAUGUUAUGUAA